CUUUAUUAGAAACAGUUACCCUGUGCUUUCACUUUCUGGACACUUUAUUAAAAACACCUUGCUGAUACUUCAACCUUCGCGAGCCUAACCUUAGCAAUGAGCUAGCUAACACACUAAUGUUACCAGGGAGAGAACUAAAGCUAGUGAAGAGCUAGCUAACCUUAGCAAUGAGCUAGCUAACACACUAAUGUUACCAGGGAGAGAACUAAAGCUAGUGAAGAGCUAGCUAACCUUAGCAAUGAGCUAGCUAACACACUAAUGUUA